CCUCUAAUAAAACAGACCUCCAUCCUAGAUCUAGCCGGUGCUUUUCUCCUCCCUUUCGUACACGACCCUUCCAUGGCGCUCUCAAGCUAGGCGGCCGCUGCUCUCCUCUGCGCGACGCUUCUGUUCGGACUCUCCGCUGCUAUCCUUGAGGUGUGUUUUUCUUCCGAUCUCUACUCCCAUCUCCACAAUUCCUAUUGUCUACGUAUUCUCUUUUCUUUCUCUCUCGAUGUCAGGUCAUUGCCAUCCUCUCAGAUUUGUACAAAAAGCUCUGAGCUCAUGUUGCUGCCGCCACACGAAGUGCAUCAUACCUCCUAUCUUCUCUCCCAUGUUCUCAGGGAGGCGCGCGUGCGUGCGCAUCUCGCUGGAUUUGCUACAUGCUAGGUUCCUGCAGGAGCGCAUUGAGAAUGAGAGUAAUCAUUGAUGCCAUCAUAGAUGGAAGGGGACGGCCAGGCUAAAGGUAAUCAUGACAAGAAAAAGUUCAUCGUGGCUAGACGUCCACCAUACAUGUUCCUCCCAAGCGGCAUGACCUAGAACUUGCCACCGACUUCAAUUAGGACGUGCUGAUCACCAGCUAUCCUCUGAGCGCAAAGGGGUCAGCAUAAAUACCAUGCAGCUUUCUCCCAAUUCUUCCCACCCCCUUCUGAAUCCUGCAAGUUUCUCUCUAUUUGUCGAGGAAUUGUGAAUUUUGGUUUCUCACCUAAAUCCUGGGAGUUGCUCUAUGUGUUCAAGAAAUUGUGAAGUUUGGCUUCUGACCUAAAUCCAGGGAGUUGCCCUCUAUGUGAGGCUUUUGAUAGUUGCGCAUAUAGAAUAAACAUCAUCUCUUGAUUUAGAGGUGAUCGAAUUUAUGGGUUUGCUUAUCAGUUGGUGCACUCAUAUAGUUAAUAUGAUAAAUGUAUGUUUCGAUAAAAUUUCAGAAUUGAUACCCACACGACAAGCUAUCUGUUCUAUUGCAGAAGCAAGGAAAAUUAGAACGCCAAGUUUCAUCAUCUUAAUGUGUUUAUGUUUCUCUUUGUAUUUUGUAGCAAGUGGUAACUGUUACUGUUGCUUUUAUCCCAACAGGCAUGAUCAAUGAUUGAUGCUUCGUUUCUCAAGUAAACCAAACUGUUGUAUUACAUGGAUUAUCCUAAUUAACUAGAGAGGGUUUUGUCAUCUUCAUGUCUUUCUCUCUCUCCUUAUACCAUGCAGCAAGUGCUAAUUCUACUCACAAAUAAACUCAACUAUGUACUGAUUUGAUUCCACAUAUAUUAUGAUGUCAUGGCUUUUAGGAUUUUUUUCUGGAUCUACCAGCUCAGAUUUAGGAGCUACCUACUAUGUGAGGCGAAUAUCAAAAUGAUCUACAAAGAAACUGACUCCAAAAGUAGUUUACCACAUCGAAUUGCUAGGUAAAGCAAGAGAAACUAGCAGGAUUCAGCAGAACCACACCUAGAUUUGGAGUGGUUCAUGGCCGUAAAACAUGGCUAACCUGUUAUAUGGCGUUCUUAAUCCGAGUGUCCAUCCGUUAUGGCACUAUUAGUUAUUUAUAUGCAGUAUCACUUCUUGAUAUGCUUCUGUUAUAAUUGUAAUACUUAGCAAUGUCGUGUCGCUACCUAUAACGGCUGAGGACUCUUGGCGUGUUUUACCGUAGCAUCACCUAGCGUUUGGAGGGAAAUGCCGAACAAGCUCACGAGUGAUAUUGACUCUGUUUCAAUUAUCUUAUGUUGAAAAUUUUGUAGCUUUGAAGUACCUAUAGCCCUGUGUUCGUUAGUGUUUUCUUCUUCUGAAAACCAGUCUAAUUGUAACUCUGGUAAUACUGAUACGGUAACUCUGUAUUGCCAUCUUUCAUAUUUUAUAUAUUUGUUAUCAAACGAAUUUACGUCUCAUGGUCUUCCCUCUUCCCUCUGCAUGCAGCUAACUUGGUAUCUCUUUGCUGUAAUAUGUCACAGAUUGAGCUGCAGUCUGAACUUUAAAAGAUGGCAUGCUAUCUAGGGUUUGCUAUAAUAGUAGGAUACUACGAUUUAUAUUGUACUUGGUUGUAUCCCUGUUGUAUUAUUUUUAGGCUUUCUCUAGGCUUUGUUGUUGGCUGGGGAUCAUGAUCAUAGAGUCGACUGUACCAUAGGUAUUGAUUCAGUGUCCUUAUAUUUGCAAGUAGUAGUUACUCAACCAUCAACUUAUGUUUUUUCCACUGUUUUGCUAUGAUACAUUAGAGCCCUCAACGUUUGUAUUCUGCAUACAGUGUGGGGCUGGAUUUGGAGAACACCAUCGAGAAACAUGACACUCCAACUGUCCAACAUAAAACAUCUUCUACCAUUAAGUGUACAUGCAUGUUCCGAUCAACCGAGCCAGCCGUCAACAUAUGUAUCUCGCCGGAUGAGCUAGCAUGCUACUUCCUGCUCGAUCGCGUCGGGAGGAAAUUGUCGUUAAUAGGUUGACAUUGUAGGUAAUUAGGAAGCAGCCUGAAGAAAUUGAUGUUUGUUACCCAUACAUGUCGUAUGUAUGUACUAACUAGCGGCAUCUCUUCAGAAUCGAUCAACCGGAUAACGCUCUAACUAGCACAACUAUCCAGAAUAGAUAUGCUUGGGAAGUCGGCUUUGCUAUGUGUAUGUGA